CCCGAGGUAGCAUUAUCCAAGAAGAAGACAAGGAAAAUUAAUUUUUUCUUACCUCAGUGGGGCACGAAGAAGACGAAGAAAGCAACGAAACACGGUCCAUUGCACGGGUAAUAUGUAGAAGAUUGCUAGAGGAGGGGGAACAAAUAUCCUCUAAGCUAUCUCUCUCUUGUAAGGUAGAAUAAAUCGCUCUCCAAAGUUGAUUUAAUAACCCACUUAAGGUGGACUUAAAUAGGCUUUGAGAAAAAUUUAUUUCCCUUUCCUAGAAGGAUCUAAAUUCCUAUUAAAGAGAGAAUCUACAUCAAAAUAAGAAGCAGUCAUAAGUUUCCUAAAGCAAGAAGAUCUCUACAUCUGCUGCCCUUUUCUGCAAGCAGCUCAACAGGUGUGGGGGCAUUUGUGGAGCCAAAAAUAUUCACAAGGCGACACGUGGAUUUUUGGACAAAAAGGACAAAAAUACACUUGUAGUACAACGAGGUUCCUACGCGUAAGCAGCGGGCAACCCUCUUUCAACCAAGACAGAAGUGCCCAAAAUAGGUAACAAUUCAAAGUCCAUCUCAUCAAAUCCUAUCUACAAGGUAAUUCCCAAACACAUUCCUUUUAAAUUAUGUUAAUUGGCUAAUUAAUGGGUUUAUUGCCUAAUUA
rnacentral:lncRNA from 1 species